rnacentral:tRNA from 1 species
GGGGAUGUGGCUCAAGUGGUAGGUAGCGCGCUCGCCUGGCAUGCGCGGGGUGCUGGGUUCGAUCCUCAGCACCUCA